GCGAUGGGGCGGGUCUAUAUCAUGGCAAGGUCGGAGCGAACAGAUGAGAAGCUUGCUUCUCUGAUGUUAGCGGCGGACGGGUGAGUAACACGUGGGUAACCUACCUAUAAGACUGGGAUAACUCCGGGAAACCGGGGCUAAUACCGGAUAAUAUUUUGAACCGCAUGGUUCAAUAGUGAAAGACGGUUUCGGCUGUCACUUAUAGAUGGACCCGCGCCGUAUUAGCUAGUUGGUAAGGUAACGGCUUACCAAGGCGACGAUACGUAGCCGACCUGAGAGGGUGAUCGGCCACACUGGAACUGAGACACGGUCCAGACUCCUACGGGAGGCAGCAGUAGGGAAUCUUCCGCAAUGGGCGAAAGCCUGACGGAGCAACGCCGCGUGAGUGAUGAAGGUCUUCGGAUCGUAAAACUCUGUUGUUAGGGAAGAACAAAUUUGUUAGUAACUGAACAAGUCUUGACGGUACCUAACCAGAAAGCCACGGCUAACUACGUGCCAGCAGCCGCGGUAAUACGUAGGUGGCAAGCGUUAUCCGGAAUUAUUGGGCGUAAAGCGCGCGUAGGCGGUUUCUUAAGUCUGAUGUGAAAGCCCACGGCUCAACCGUGGAGGGUCAUUGGAAACUGGGAAACUUGAGUGCAUAAGAGGAGAGUGGAAUUCCAUGUGUAGCGGUGAAAUGCGCAGAGAUAUGGAGGAACACCAGUGGCGAAAGCGGCUCUCUGGUCUGUAACUGACGCUGAUGUGCGAAAGCGUGGGGAUCAAACAGGAUUAGAUACCCUGGUAGUCCACGCCGUAAACGAUGAGUGCUAAAUGUAGGGGGUUUCCGCCCCUUAGUGCUGCAGCUAACGCAUUAAGCACUCCGCCUGGGGAAGUACGACCGCAAGGUUGAAACUCAAAGGAAUUUGACGGGGACUCUGCCACAAAGCGGUGGAAGCAUGUGUUAAUUCGAAGCACGUCGAAGACCUUUACCAAUCCUUGACAUCCUUUGACCGCUCUAGAGAAUGAGUCUCCCCUUCCGGGGAACAAAUUGACACGGUGGUCGCAUGUUUGUCGUCGACUCGUGUCGUGAUACUGCUGGAUUAAGGUCCCUGCUACGUGACGCGUGACCCUUAGAUCUUUA
rnacentral:rRNA from 1 species